AAUCAACGCUGGCGGCGUGCCUCAGACAUGCAAGUCGAACGCGAAAGGUUCCUUCGGGAGCCGAGUAGAGUGGCGCUCGGGUGAGUAACACGUAGGUAAUUUGCCUUUGGGUGGGGAAUAACAAUCGGAAACGGUUGCUAAUACCGCAUAAUGCAGCGGCUCGACAUCGAGACAGUUGUUAAAGCGGGGGAUCCUUCGGGACCUCGCGCCUAAAGAGAAGCCUGCGGCGGAUUAGCNGGUUGGUGAGGUAAUGGCUCACCAAGGCGACGAUCCGUAACCGGCCUGAGAGGGCGGACGGUCACACUGACACUUAAAUACGGGUCAGACUCCUACGGGAGGCAGCAGUCGGGAAUUUUGGGCAAUGGGCGAAAGCCUGACCCAGCAACGCCGCGUGAAGGAUGAAAUCCCUCGGGAUGUAAACUUCGCAAGAACGGGAANAAUAAGCGAGAGUAAAUACCUCUCGUGAUGACGGUACCGUUUGUAAGCUCCGGCUAACUCCGUGCC
rnacentral:rRNA from 1 species